rnacentral:lncRNA from 1 species
GAAAGCAAAAUGUCUUACAGAAUAUUGUCUUUGAUACUUUCAGAGGCUGGUGUCUGCAGUCACAACUGUAGCUGAAAUAUGAUGUAGAAAUGCUGUGACAUAGCACCAGACUGUGAGAUACCGAAAGCAUGGACAAACCAGCUACACUCGUCUUACUGCCAAUACCAGCGCCUUUCACUGGUGGCAUUACUUCUUCCAGUCUUACUGAGGUGCUGCUCUUGAAGCAACCUAAUUUUUCAAGGAAUUCUGCCUCAAGCAAGGACCACAAUGGAAAAGGAUGCUAG